GCCAGACUCCUACGGGAGGCAGCAGUGGGGGAUAUUGCACAAUGGGGGGAACCCUGAUGCAGCGACGCCGCGUGGGUGAAGGAGCGUUUCGGCGCGUAAAGCCCUAUCGGCAGGGAAGAAGGAGGACGGUACCUGACUAAGAAGCCCCGGCUAACUACGUGCCAGCAGCCGCGGUAAUACGUAGGGGGCAAGCGUUAUCCGGAUUUACUGGGUGUAAAGGGGGCGCAGACGGCGAUGCAAGCCAGGAGUGGAAGCCCGGGGCCCAACCCCGGGACUGCUCUUGGAACUGCGUGGCUGGAGUGCAGGAGGGGCAGGCGGAAUUCCUGGUGUAGCGGUGAAAUGCGUAGAUAUCAGGAGGAACACCAGUGGCGAAGGCGGCCUGCUGGACGAUGACUGACGUUGAGGCUCGAAAGCGUGGGGAGCAAAUAGGAUUAGAUACCCCCGUA
rnacentral:rRNA from 1 species